AUUGAACGCUGGCGGCAUGCCUUACACAUGCAAGUCGAGCGGCAGCGCGGGGCGAACCCUCGCGGCGAGCGGCGGACGGGUGAGUAAUGCAUCGGAACGUGUCCUCUUGUGGGGGAGUAACCAGUCGAAAGACUGGCUAAUACCGCAUGAGCUCGUAAGAGGAAAGCAGGGGACCCGCAAGGGCCUUGCGCGAGAGGAGCGGCCGAUGCCCGAUUAGCUAGUUGGCGGGGUAAAAGACCCACCAAGGCGACGAUCGGUAGCUGGUCUGAGAGGACGACCAGCCACACUGGGACUGAGACACGGCCCAGACUCCUACGGGAGGCAGCAGUGGGGAA
rnacentral:rRNA from 1 species